UACGUAGGGUGCGAGCGUUAAUCGGAAUUACUGGGCGUAAAGCGUGCGUAGGCGGCUAUGUAAGACAGAUGUGAAAUCCCUGGGCUUAACCUAGGAACUGCAUUUGUGACUGCAUAGCUAGAGUGUGGUAGAGGGAGAUGGAAUUCCGCAUGUAGCAGUGAAAUGCGUAGAUAUGCGGAGGAACACCAAUGGCGAAGGCGGGUCUCUGGACAGUUCCUGACACUGAGACACGAAGGCCAGGGGAGCAAACGGG
rnacentral:rRNA from 1 species